rnacentral:piRNA from 1 species
UGGGAAUCAGUGUUUCUGUGAAGACCAA